rnacentral:rRNA from 1 species
AACCAUGCCCUUCGGGGCUCCUUGGUGAUUCAUAAUAACUUAACGAAUCGCAUGGCCUUGCGCCGGCGAUGGUUCAUUCAAAUUUCUGCCCUAUCAACUUUCGAUGGUAGGAUAGUGGCCUACCAUGGUUUUAACGGGUAACGGGGAAUUAGGGUUCUAUUCCGGAGAGGGAGCCUGAGAAACGGCUACCUCACCCAAGGAAGGCAGCAGGCGCGCAAAUUACCCAAUCCCAAUUCGGGGAGGUAGUGACAAUAAAUACUGAUACAGGGCUCUUUCGGGUCUUGUAAUUGGAAUGAGAACAAUUUAAAUCCCUUAACGAGGAACAAUUGGAGGGCAAGUCUGGUGCCAGCAGCCGCGGUAAUUCCAGCUCCAAUAGCGUAUAUUAAAGUUGUUGCAGUUAAAAAGCUCGUAGUUGAACCUUGGGCCUGACCGAUCUGUCCUCCUAAUCGAGCGCACGGAUUCGGUUGGGUCUUUCCUUCUGGGGAACCCUAUGCCCUUCACUGGGCGUAGUGGGGAACCAGGACUUUUAC